GUGGUCUUUUCUAUUUUACAGUCACUCACAGUGGGUGGGACAGGAAGAAGAGUGAAGGAAAAUGUCAA
rnacentral:sRNA from 1 species